AUUGAACGCUGGCGGCAGGCCUAACACAUGCAAGUCGAGCGGAUGAAGGGAGCUUGCUCCUGGAUUCAGCGGCGGACGGGUGAGUAAUGCCUAGGAAUCUGCCUGGUAGUGGGGGAUAACGUCCGGAAACGGGCGCUAAUACCGCAUACGUCCUGAGGGAGAAAGUGGGGGAUCUUCGGACCUCACGCUAUCAGAUGAGCCUAGGUCGGAUUAGCUAGUUGGUGGGGUAAAGGCCUACCAAGGCGACGAUCCGUAACUGGUCUGAGAGGAUGAUCAGUCAACACUGUAAUGAGAACACGUCCAGACUUCUUAGGGAGGGAAGAGUUGGGAAUAUUAGGACAUGGGCGGAAGCCUUAUCCAAGCCUGGCGCGUUGGUUGAAGAGGGCUUCCGGUUGUUAAGGACCUUUAAGUGGGGGGAAAGGAAGUAAGUUAAUACCUUGCUGUUUUGACGUUACCAACAGAAUAAGCACCGGCUAACUUCGUG
rnacentral:rRNA from 1 species